GCGCUGCGGCGGAGGCCUGGUCACGUCCCGCACGGAGCCGCCGCCGCGUGAGGGCGGCGCAGGGUGAGAAGGGCCUUCGGGGUCGUUCGGGGCUUCGUCGCGGGCCUCGUUCUCGGGGCACUGCGCUGAAGUGAAUCCCCUUUCAUUUCCAGUCUCAUCGAAAUGAAUGCUUCCAGGUGUUAUUUUAGGGCCGGUUAAACAGAAAGGGCGAGGACGUGCCCGCGGGAGGGAUCCUUGAGCUGCAGAGCUGCUGCAGUGUGGGCGGCCAUCUCCGUGCGCCGGCCUGCAGCGCUCAGCUGGGACUGAAGGACCGAGAGCAGAACUGACAGCGUGGUUUUACACGGCCCCCACCGAGUCAUCGUUUUCCAGAUAACUGUGGAAAACCGUCUUCUCGGGGGAUACGCUUUUCAGAAGUGUGGUUUGACAAAAAAAUGGGCCUGUCUCACAUGUUUGGAUAGCCAACAAUGAACCGCAAUGGGCUGCACGUUGUACGAGGAAGGCCAUGGGCUCAUGGCUUGGGCUAACGUUUGCUGGCAGGUUGAUGUGUUGCCGUUCUGACUCAAUAGAUGCUUGUGAGGAAGGUCUGGUAGCAAGUCAAAUGCUUGAUCAUUGCUCUUUGCUGAUGGCAGAGCUAAACGUGGAUGAACAGUCUGCAGCAGAACAGCGAAAGCCAGAGGAAACAGAAAAAAUGCACUUACGAGAAACCAAACAUGAAGGUAUGCAGACUGAAACAUCCCAUCUGCACCAGUGCUGGAGCAGAAGAUGAGGAGUGGGAGCCCUGUGGUGUGAGAGUUGUCUGAAGGCUCUGAGAAGCUUGGACAGGCCUCAAGGCAGGUCAGAAACAUCCAUUCAGCCACGUUAUUUGGCAAUCCCCGUGGCAUUAUCCAUAACUUUUAAGUCCUAGUCUGGGUUCAAAUUAAAAUAGGUCAGCUAACGGUCUCAAUAUUCACUGCAAAGUAAAUCUAGAUUGGAUCCUAGGGUCCCUCCUGUGAGUGCAAAUUAGUAAACCCACUCUGAGCUUCCAGUGGCCAGCAGGGUUCUUGUAAAACAGAGACCAGAGUGCAGCGCUGGUGUCACCAGUAGGUUGGGCAGUCCAGCACUUCUGAUGCUGAAGUGGUGUUCACCAUGGCCCAAGAAGCAAAUUCUGAACUGGUCCUGAAUCCAGCUUUCCCUGAGUCCAGAUUUGCUUUCCUCAGUACGAGAAUUCAUUCAGUACUACAAGGCCUUCUAUUGCAAAGCUUCCGUGCCAUCUCUUAGCAGUAAAAAAGCAUGAAGGAGAAAUGUCAUAGUGCAUGGCAUGCACACGGUAACCUGAGCACCCGCAGUAAUACAAGAUGCAAGGUGGUUUAUAGCAAAGCUGCUCGAGGAGAGGGGGCAGUGAGACACUCACGAGCCCUCAGUUAGCAGAGGGUGGUCAGGAAUGAAGGACCCCAGGAAUCAUUUUGGCUGAAUUUCGAAAGAAUCAAAUAGUAAAAAUACCUCAAAACUAUUUCCAACACAGAAGUGAAAUACAGGAAUAGAAGUAUAGGAAUAGUCCAUGCGCUUCCAGUGCAGUAUCCCACCAAUAAAAUGUGACUCGGUAGGACUAACUCCACCACAAAUAUAUACAUGUAAUAGGCCAGUACUGUGUGAUGCCUUCAAUAAUCUGAAAUUAGGAGCUUAGUGCAGCUAUAAGGGUCUGUUGUUCUGGGCAUCACUGCAGCCAUCGCUUGUAAAACGGACUCAGGUUUUACGUUGGCUUGUUUCUUUCUCCACUUGUUAGGAAGAAGGUGGGAGGGAGAAGAGGGAGGAAGUCACGUAAGAAUUGGGGGAGGGAGAAUGUAAUUUCAAAUGGGAAAUGGCCGGGAAGGUGUGCACUGUAAGGGAAUUAAAGAAAGGAGGAGCGUUACAGAUGUGCGUUCACGACUCGGAGCUCAUUUCCACAUUUGAGUCACCUCCCUGUCCUUCCCGCCCGUUGUGAAAUAUCUGGAAUACACUGCAAAUAUUUAAAGAAAAAAAGCCCGUGCAAACAGUUCCAAACCUGUGCUUUUAAAGUGACCGACACGAGGAGCUGAGGAGGGCAAAGGAUAGGUAAAUUAAGGUGAAAAAAAGGAAACAGGGAUGUGGUGUGACCAGCUAGGAAGUCAUUGCUGAGAAUACAAAACAGAAACUGCUUUUCACGGGCAGAGCCAUCAUCUGCACCGCCCUGCAGGUCUCAGCAGAACUCACAACAUUCUGUAGGAAAGCCAUGAGGGUGUUUUGUUAACUUUCUCCUUGAAAUGGAAGAUGUUCAGGAAGGAAUCUGAGCUGCACCUUUAUCUAUUUUAACUCAGCCAGCUGCUGUGUUUUGCUCUUGACAUUUACUACUGCCUAACUAAGCCGAAAAAAAAAAAAGGGGGUGGGGGGGAUAACAAACCAGUUUAACAGUCAGGAAAUAAAAUCCCCACUGACCGCCCCGAUAGGUUUGUCAUCGAUUGGACAGCGAACGGAACGAAGGUUGCUGUGCGGUUAGGAACGCAGAGUGAACCAGCAGAAGCGCGGCGCUCCCAGCAGCCAGACUGCACGUCUUGAUGAGCAGGGCCCCCCAGGGGAAGCUGUGCGAGGGCUCAGUGGGCGGCGGUGCGGUACGAAGUGCCGGUAUUUGCCCGGGGUUUCAUCGUUCCAGCGAGGAACAACGAAAAGGUUUUUCUGCCCCUCCUUGCAAAAAUUCCUCCCCAAACUCUGCCAGGUGCUCCCUCUGUGUUCCUUGCCUAAUCCUUUUCACUUUGUUUUCCGCUUUGCUUUACUGUGUUCUCGUAUAUUUCUUUAACCGGCCUUAAACUUUGUGACGUAACGUCUGCUUUGGUAAUUCGUUAAUGGCUCACAAACUGCUGAGCACUGAAAGAAUCUGGUCCUUUUCGCCUCAGUUUCUCUUACCUCCUUAAUGAGGACAGUCACUCUGAGCACAAACCAAAGUCCACGUAGCUGGGGCAGGCAGGCUGUGGAAGCAUGGGACACAACAGAGGAGAAAGAAGGCAGCACUGAUUUCCGUCUGCUGCUUUUACCUUGUGAAACUGGUAAUGGGAGACUGCUCUGCUGCUCUGGCAGAUAAGGCCUCUCUGACAAAGACACAAUUAUUUGCAGCCUGUUCUCCGUUCCCCGGAGACGCCUAUUGAGUUCAGUGGCUCAGCAGACUGUACCUGUUUUGAACUCAAGCAUUUUACAGCAAGGAACGCUCUUCCAUUUCUCAGAAGCAUCAGCCGACCACAGCUCUGAGCAGAAUCCCGCUCUACACAAUUCCCCUCUCUUUCCUUGCAUCUGGAUGUGUAUGCACGCAGCUCUCGAGCUCUUGUUAAGCAAUUCUUUUUAGCUAUGCAUUUAAUGGCAUAGAAAAAGCCUUACCCAAUUCAGGAGUUUUCACUUGUCAUCUGGUAGACAUGAUAACAAAUUCAUAGCUACUCAAAUUAUCCAGUCAAGUGAAAGGAAAGAAAUAGCACUGACAGCAGCACGGCUCUGAUAUCCAGAGAGAUUUCUGCCUCAAAGCCUGACCUGCAGGGCAAUCAGACUGCUCUGCAUGGACAUUUUCUAAGACUGCUACUGGAAAAAGAAGACAGGGAAGAAUGCAUUUAACAGAAACUCAGCUGUGCUAAAAGCCAUACUAAAAUAAAAGCACUUGGGCAGGGAUUAAAAACAAACAAGGGUUGCUCUGAAAGUAAUGCCCCCUGUUUUGUUCUGUUGGCUCACAAUGUCGAGAGGCAGAUGUGGGUGGGAUGGUAGUAGAGGGGCAACCUUCCCACCUGUAUCCCGUUAUGCUUUGUUGCCAUGACAGAUGGCAGCAGAGGGGCACUCUGUAAAUGGCAUCUGAGACGGAAGGGCUGAUGAAGCAAAGGGGUAGAACUGAAUUCCUCCAUAGGGAAAAAAAUGUCACCCACUGACAUUGAUUGGCACUUGCUGAAAGGUUAUGGAGACCAAAUAGUGCGUGUGAGCACAGUGAGGUGGUGGGUGGUGCGUUUCAACAGUAGUGACACAAAAUAUAGGAAAGGGGUGAUCCUUCUGGAUUUCCUGGAACCCACACAAACUAUCAACUCUGACCACUACACCAUGCCUAAGCUGAAGGCUCCAACUUCCAGAGUCAGACCAGAGAAGACAACCUUUCUCUUGCAACACAGAAACACCAGGGUCCAUACCAGUUUUUAUCUGUUGUAGUUUCCGAGGAAAAUAGGAGGCAUUACUUUCAGAGCAAGGUACGUACUAAAGGAGGAGGCACAGGGGAGAUAUACGUCGUGCAACACUGCAUAAAAAACCUCCUCAACAUCUCUAAGUGAGACCAGCUCAGGGCUAGGCAAAAAAUGAGCUGAGGUGGCAGGGGGGAGAACAGAUCUUUGCAGGACUCUGGAAGAGCAAUCCAGAAAACCAGAAGAACUCUUCCAGGAAAACAAUAAAACGGCACCAUGGAACUCUGGGAAAAAGCACCCCAGGCAAUCUGCCAGCAGACAGGUGUAAGGAAUGUGCCAGACGGGGCACAGCAGGGAGGAAAGCAGAGGUCCUUGCAAGCAAAAGUAUGUGGGACUUCUAGUGCUUGAGAAAAGCUUUGAGAAAGUUCGUAACGAUAUGGGACUUCGGGCUUUGUACCCCUUUUCUAUCCUGACAAAUGGAAAGUAGAAGGCAUCCCGGAGAAAACGCCAGCCAGAGAGCAGAGCCUGAGGACCAGUUGUAUACUGGAGUAGAAAGGGCAGCUGGACAGAAGAGCUGAGAAGGGGGCUUCGCUCAUUGCUUCAAGUACUGUUCAGGGUAAUUCCUACACUGUUGCAGGGGAUUUGUGCUGGAUUUGUGUCCGGUCCCAGGGGUAUUUUGUGGAUGGAGCCUGGCCAUCUCCACCACAGAAAGACACUAAAUCACACUCUUUCAAGUAGGCUGGGCAUGCUGCUGAAGGUCAUGCAGUUGAGUAGUGUUGGAAGCAUAUGUAAGAAAACCCUAAUACUCAGCCCUUAGCCAAAUCAGGAAAAAAACAAUACUGCUUCACCUUUCCAGUUCCAGAGUGCGUUCUUACUUGGUGAAGAUGAAAGGCCUUCAGGAUCAUCCUGUACACACACAUUCAACCAGCUGCAGGGCAAACCCAACAUCACCAUGUCCCAGAGAUGCCAUGUGUUGCCCUUUAAUUUAACAGUGUGGGAGAAGGGAAUAAAUUUUGAGCAGCUAGCUGCAGAACCUGUGAAGUCAGCACACAAAGUACUGAAAGGAGAUCACAGAACAGGAUUAAAGAAGUUGCUGGAAGUUACAGUUUUUAUUAUACAGUUUAUAAUUAUCACUCUAAUGAUGGAGGCACAAUCUUAAAAGAAUAGGAAUUACGAAACUGCCUUUUUCUCAAUACAAAGAAAUGUAACAGUACUAAAUUAACAUUCCAUAAUAGCGUUCUUUUCUCCAUUCAAGUUUAAAGCAUUAGGAUGGAACUUGUUUUAAGCAACAUCUGUAAUAAAUAAAACUGCUUGCUUUCACUGUGUUCUGCCAGCUUCACAUUCUGCUUCAUUUAAAAUUUCAAGUGUCUACACUUUUAAAAGUUUAUCGGUAAGAUUCGGAGUGAUGUUUAAAGCCUUAAGUGUAUAUAUAUGUGUAUUUAAAUAAAACAGGUUUUAUAAAUAGUGACAGAAAACAAAACAAACGAGUAAUACAUAAUUCCAUUUGUAACUACGUUUCCAAGAGAUAUUUUAAAUUCUUGAGUUCAAACAGUGUACAAGAGGAGUAAGGGACUUACAUAUGAAAACAUUUACAUUUAAGAAAACAUUUACCUCCCACAUUAUUUCACUUGCACUGUACAUUCAAACUGAAAAAUAUUUUGGUUCUUCACUGUAAAGCACCUUAUAAGACAUUUUAAUCACAAGACAAGCUUUCUGCGAGUCAGUAUCACACAUUAGGCGAGUGGGAAGCAGGACUGGACAGACAAACUGUUCUCAAAGACCGGGACUCUGCAUUCCUUAAUCAGCUAUGCGACGCUCAAAUGCACCAUGUACUAAAUUCAAGCUCAAAGACAUUUACAGACAGGUUUUCUUACGGAGGAAAACUGGAUUGAAAAGGACCUCCAGGCUCAGCCCUGACCAGUGCUGUUAGCUAGAGGCAUCACUUCAUGUAAGCUUCUUUCAGCAGCUUGGUUUCUACCCAUACCAAUUCUAAAGAUAUGUUUUGAAAGAAUGGAACAAAUUUCUCAUGCUGCUUUAUCUACCGAGCAGGAACGUGACCCUGUGUAACUACUGUAUCUCCUGCAGUAAGAGCAUGAUGUCUGUCACUUACAGACCACAUGCACCAUAGCAGGGGCUGGAGCAGCACCUGCAGCAGUGAAACUCACCUGAAAGAACGUCAGGAUCUGUCUUGUGUAUUCUUUGUGUGAUUUAGAUGACCAGUUAUCAGCAAAACUCAGACGACAAUAAUGUGCAAAACAUUCCUUGUUCUCAGCAAGAUUCUUCAGGUGAAACAACACUGAGAAUGAACAUGGAUUAACAAGACAACUGAAAUCUUUGGAAACAGUUUAUACAGCUUUAAAGCACAAAAAGCUGCUUGAGAGCAUUCUGCUGGCCUUUAGAGAUGUUUUGAAACGAAGAGCAAGAAAAGUUGGAACCAGACGUUUAUGAAAGAGACGGUGGCAUUCGAGAGGAAUGAUUUCUGGUACAAUGCAGGUUAUGGGAACAAGAGCAGUCCUAGAAGCUUUUAAGUAAGGCACAUCUAUCUGCAAACACAGAACUCUCAGUAUUUUAGAAACACAGUAAUUUGUAACUUUUUUUAAACACAGUAUUAAACUUGACUGUGUAUAAAGAGA